UACGUAGGGAGCAAGCGUUGUCCGGAAUCAUUGGGCGUAAAGCGCGCGUAGGCGGCCCGAUAAGUCCGCUGUGAAAGUCAACGGCUCAACUGUUGGAUGCCGGUGGAUACUGUCGGGCUAGAGUACGGAAGAGGCAAGUGGAAUUCCUGGUGUAGCGGUGGAAUGCGCAGAUAUCAGGAGGAACACCGGUGGCGAAGGCGGGUCUCUGGGCAGUAACUGACGCUGAGGAGCGAAAGCGUGGGGAGCGAACAGG
rnacentral:rRNA from 1 species